rnacentral:rRNA from 1 species
AAUGAACGCUGGCGGCAUGCCUAACACAUGCAAGUCGAACGAGACCUUCGGGUCUAGUGGCGCACGGGUGCGUAACGCGUGGGAAUCUGCCCUUGGGUUCGGAAUAACUCCUCGAAAGGGGUGCUAAUACCGGAUGAUGUCGUAAGACCAAAGAUUUAUCGCCCAAGGAUGAGCCCGCGUAGGAUUAGCUAGUUGGUGAGGUAAAAGCUCACCAAGGCGACGAUCCUUAGCUGGUCUGAGAGGAUGAUCAGCCACACUGGGACUGAGACACGGCCCAGACUCCUACGGGAGGCAGCAGUGGGGAAUAUUGGACAAUGGGCGAAAGCCUGAUCCAGCAAUGCCGCGUGAGUGAUGAAGGCCUUAGGGUUGUAAAGCUCUUUUACCCGGGAUGAUAAUGACAGUACCGGGAGAAUAAGCUCCGGCUAACUUCGUGCCAGCCGCCGCCGUAAGAC